rnacentral:rRNA from 1 species
CACGUAGGGCGCAAGCGUUGUCCGGAAUUAUUGGGCGUAAAGCGCGUGUAGGCGGUCCGGUAAGUCCGCUGUGAAAGUCGGGGGCUCAACCCUCGGAUGCCGGUGGAUACUGUCGGGCUUGAGUACGGAAGAGGCGAGUGGAAUUCCUGGUGUAGCGGUGAAAUGCGCAGAUAUCAGGAGGAACACCAAUUGCGAAGGCAGCUCGCUGGGACGUUACUGACGCUGAGACGCGAAAGCGUGGGGAGCAAACAGG